GUGUGGGGCCAAGCUAGCAUGCCCGAGAAGAAACCUUCUGGAAACAUAUUUGGUUAUGACUUAAGGAGAAAUUCCAAUGGGGGAAGCGCUCAAUAGACGGUUCCCAAAUAUCCCCAAGGAAUGCCUCCACUGUGGAAUAACAAAAACUGUUCGCCACCUUUCCUUUGAUUGCAUUAGGGCUGUGGAAGUAUGGUUACACUCCCUACUCAGGCUCUGUCAUCUUUAUUCCGUGGAUCUUGUUUGCGGGAUUUUUGGGAUGAAUUAAUGGCUUAUUUACAAGUAAGUAAUGCCAACAAAUAUCUUUGGACGCACUUGUUAUUCAUUCUCUAUCAUAUCUGGAAAGGGCAAAAUGCCUUUAUCUUCAAAAUCAGUGCCAACUUUUCUGGAGGUUUUAAGUUCGGCAGAGUUACAUAUGGAAGAUUUUCAGGAGCUCAAGAGCUUCAGAGGCAUCCUCCCGAGCAGCCAUUAAAUCAAGAUUGGUCCUGCCUCCAGAGAACUUCAUAGAGAUAAACUUCGAUGCCGCUGUGUGCAGAAAAAGGAAUAGGGGAGCUACAACAGGCAUCGCUCGAGAUCACAGGGCUGGUCCUGCAAGCGUCAUAUGAACAUCACUGAUCCUUUAGUGCUAGAAGCUGUUGCUGCCCGGGAUGCAAUCUGUUUGGCUAAGUCUCUAGGUUUUAGACUCAUGUAAAUUGAGGGAGACUCCAAAAUAGUGAUAAAAAGCGUUAUUGGGAGGUCAAAAACCACUCUCAGCACCACUCUCAGCGGAAGGCAU
rnacentral:misc_RNA from 1 species